rnacentral:tRNA from 1 species
GGAAAGAUGGCAGAGUGGUCUAAUGCAGUCGCUUGGAAAGCGGCCGUGGUGCAAGCCACCGCAGGUUCAAAUCCUGUUCUUUCCGCCA